rnacentral:rRNA from 1 species
UACGUAGGGUGCGAGCGUUAAUCGGAAUUACUGGGCGUAAAGCGUGCGCAGGCGGUUCGUUAAGUUCGAUGUGAAAGCCCCGGGCUCAACCUGGGAACUGCAUUGGAAACUGGCGAGCUUGAAUGCGGCAGAGGGGGGUGGAAUUCCGCGUGUAGCAGUGAAAUGCGUAGAGAUCAGCCGGAACACCCAAGGCGAAGGCAGCCUUCUGGGCCUCAUCUGACGCUGUGGCGCGAAAGCGUGGGGAGCGAACGGG